rnacentral:rRNA from 1 species
AUUGAACGCUGGCGGCAGGCCUAACACAUGCAAGUCGAGCGGAUGAAGGGAGGUUGCUCCUGGAUUCAGAGGCGGACGGGUGAGUAAUGCCUUGGAAUCUGCCUGGUAGUGGUGGAUAACGUCCGGAAAAGGGCACUAAUACCGCAUACGUCCUGAGGGAGAAAGUGGGGGAUCUUCGGACCUCCCGCUAUCAGAUGAGGCUAGGUGGGAUUAGAUAGUUGGUGGGGUAAAGGCCUACCAAGGCGACGAUCCGUAACUGGUCUGAGAGGAUGAUCAGUCACACUGGAACUGAGACACGAUCCAGACUCCUAUGGGAGGCAGCAGUGGGCAAUAUUGGACAAUGGGCGAAAGCCUGAUCCAGCCAUGCCGCUUGUGUGAAGAAGGUCUUCGGAUUGUAAAGCACUUUAAGUUGCGAGGAAGGGCAGUAAGCUAAUACCUUGCUGUUUUGACGUUACUAACAGAAUAAGCACCGGCUAACUUCGUG